GUUUGCGGUCGGAGGGAACACGGCGCCCCUUUCUGCAUUAGUGUGCUCUCCUUGACCUCACAUCGCUGACCCUCAACGGCGGCGGUGGGUCCCGAGUCUAUCACUAGGCUGUACUUGGUUGAAACUGGAGAUGCGCCGGCCGAAGAAGAGGGCGCAGGUGAACAACAGGGCUCAGCAGACUUUGGGGUAGGUGUGGACGGGCAUGUGUCAAAAGCGGCAGUGACCCUGCACAACCUGGGCUCGUGAGGCCAGGCGGACGGGUCUCAGAAACCAACGCGGUGCACGGGCACUGCAGGUGUCGCGCCACGGAGCGCAUGCCUGUGCGCACAAGUGGCAGACACCACGAGGAGGAACGCCUUCAGCAGUUUCGAAAGAGAACCAAGCUUUACUGAAGGUCUGAAAUGUUCCAGGAUAUCAAACCACCAAGCCAGUUGUGAUCCACAAGUUGGAAGAAGGAGAAGAACCAUGGAUGAUGGAGAGAGGAACCCCAAGUUGGAGCUACCCAGUACAAAGGAGGAGAGAAAGAAAGAAAUUAUAGGGGAUUGAUGAAGUGACAUCAGAUGAUAACUUAAAACCACAGGAAAAAUUGAAGAGUGCCAGAAAUGAAAUUACUCGAGAAGCAUCCUGACAUCUCCCCAUACACAGAACAUGAUGGAAAAGAGAGUUGGCAAGAUUGGGAAGACCUAAGCAUAUGAACAUUUAUUUAAACAUGAUACGCCUGGAGAAGAUGGUGUGAAGAAUGGAAUGAGAUCUGAUAAGACUCCAAAGGAGGGCUGUUUUAAGGGGCAGAAUUCUGCUGGGUCUUCACCUCUUACAAUCAUCCUUACAAUGAUCCUUGGAAAGAGUCACCAUCCGGUAUUCUAAGAUGGGUCCCUUGUAAGGCCGUUUUGGCCAUGCCAUCUAUACUUGCAUCUCUUCCCACAAAGGCAUCUGAGUCUAGUGGCCAAUGGACUAUUUCUCUUUCUAAAAAAGCAUAUAUGUAUAUUACUCAGGGUACUUUUCUAUGUCCUCUCUCCUCACUGGAACGUGCCUGCCUCAUGGAGCAUGGGAUGGUUUUUGUGAUUCACUUCUCUUUAUGAGGUUGGUCACAGAGAUCUGCAGGUGGGCUGUGUUUACUUUCUUUAAGAAGAUGUCAUUGGCUCGGGAAUAUCAGUCAGCCAUGUCUGAAUCCCAGACACAAGGAGACCCCAGAGAAGAGGGUGAGGCUGCCCCUAACUGCCUAGAUGACUAAGUCACCAAUGUAUUAGAAUCUUGAAAUCACAGCACCAUGGAAACAGAAUCACAGAAUUUUGAAUCUGGAUGGCACCAGAGAGCUCACAUAAUCUAAAACAUUAACAACAACAACAACAAAUCCUGGGGACAAAGGGUCAGAUUUAGGACUUCAGAUCAGCCUGGACAAGAACAAUGGCUACACAGCUCCCAUCAGCCCACAUCUGAGAUGCUUCCAGAACAGCAGCCAGAUCCCGUAUUCUCCUUGGCUUGCUAUUCCUACCAUCUGCCACUUGGGGCUCUCUGCCUUGAGCAGCUUCAAGGAGCAAAAAAGUGACAGUUGAGGUUGCCUCUCAGACAGGCUCAUGUUUCUCAGGUUGACUUCAACAUUAGCUUACUGUGUGUGCGCGUGCACUGCAUUGGGACCUAAGGCAUUUUUACAAUAUACGAUUCAGAGUACUUCCUGACUCAGAUUGGCCUGUCACAAGAAUAGGUACCUAAUUUUUUUUUUUUUUUACUGAUAGAUUCCCUACAAUUAAAGAAACUAAAAUUUUCUAAUGGCAAUAAUACAUGUUCACUGUUAAAAACUCAGACAUAUAACUAUAAAGAAGAACAUGAAAAGCAACUGAAUUUCACCUCCCAACAUAAAUGCUGUCAACAUUAGACAUUUAAAAAUGGGCCAUAGUUUAUAAGUUUAUAACUAGAGUUUUACUUAGCAAUACACCAUAGACAUCUAUCUCAUUAUAUUCAAAUUGCUCAAUAACAUUUCCCCGUGUGGAUGUGCCAUAAUAUAUUUAGCCAAACUCCUAUUUAGAGGCCUGGUUUGUUUUCGAUUUUUCAGUAAUAUAAACAAUGCUGAGAUAAAGCUCUGGUUCCUCGAUUAUUUAUGUUGGCUGGUUUUAAUAUGUGAUAUGAAUUUUAUCCACAAGGGGGAAGCAGGCUACUGUGAGAAGACAAGCUAAGAUUGGGGACGGAAAACAAAAAAAAAACCCGGAAAGUUCUUUGGCAUACAUAAAUUCACUUCAACCUUGAGGCAAAUAUUAAUAUUUUCCUCUUUUUAAGGAUAAGGAAACUCAUGUGGGAAGCGUAAGCCAUGUGUGCAGAUUCUCACCAACCAGUGAGCACCAAGGUGGAAUUCAAAGCAUCCUUUUGAUUCCAUAUAGCUGGCUUUCUUCAUUUCACUACACUCCCAAAGUUGAUAUCAGUAAGAUAUUCUUCCUACAUUCAAUUCAGUUCUAGGUACUGUGCUGGGAUAUUAUUCAGCAAUGAAUAAGAGGAUCCCUGCCCCUCAGGGGGUCAUUAUCAAGUGUGAGGGCAGAUUUAUACAUAAAUAAUUGAAUGACUAAAUGCCCACCAGAAUAGACAGAGCCCAGGAAGGCAGGAAGUCAUUUUGGCAGUGAGGCAGGGCACAGCUUUAUAAAAGAGGCUCAAUAACAAUAAGAGCUAAAAUUAAUUGAGCUUUACUCAGUAAGAGACACUGUGUUAAGUGCUUUAUAUGCAUAACCUAAUUAAAAGGUCCACGUAGACCAGGAAGGUAUUGUAUCCUUUUUACAAAGACAAAAAUUAGUGGUCAGAGAGGUUAAGAAACUGGCUACUUGUGACGUAACACUGCAACCUACAUCCUAAUUUGGCUUACCAUCCCCAGAAGGGAUGAUAGACCUUCAACAGGCAGAGCUUGGAGACUCCUAGAAGAGGAAACACAGAAACAAAAUCUUAGAGACAACAAAUACCAGCACCUUUGGGAAUACAAGGGGCUGGGUGUAUCUGGGGUAUGAAAGAGGAAGGAUCCGAAGAGAUAAAGACUAGAGGAAGAAAACGAGUCAGAUUGGAGAAGUCUGUGAAUAGCAAGCCAAGGAGAUCCUACUUUAUCUUGUAUUGGGGGGAGGGGAGCCCAACCACAGAGAAUAACAUUACCUGUGUUUUAUGAAGGUUAUUUUGGUGCAUUGCAUAAGGGAAUAAGAAGAUUAGUUAGGGGAUUAUUAAAAUAAUCCUGGCCAAAGAUAAGAGAGAAUGAGAACCAAAAGACAUUACUGAGAUAAAAUCCACAAGAUUUGACAUCUCAGAUAUCACGGAGAGAGAGGAGAGAACUAUGGUUAAGAGUUCCAUGUCUGGGCAACUGGGAGAAUGUGAGCAUGUACACCAAGCGGGGGCUGUGAGGAGGGAGGAGAUGAGGUUACUUGUUUUACAUGAGAUUUUCUUACUGAGGGACCUCUGAAUGGAGAUGUUCAGUGGAGAAUUAGAAGUAGUAAGCUGGUGAUUUAGAUACAGAACCUAAGAAUCAGAAGAACUGACGCAGGGAGCUGGCCAGGGAGAAUCUAUACUUGAGAUUCAGCAGAAGAUGAAAUCUGCUGAGAAGAGACUGUUCCAAGACCUGACCACUGUCUGACCCGUGAGCUGGACCUAGUUCAGAAGGGAGAUUGCUCACUGCAAAUCAGUGCCCAUUCUGUCAUAAACCAUCACCCCUGCCUUGCCUCCUGGUAUGUGCUAGUUCCUGGAACAGGCCGUUAUUUUGACCUGGUCAAGCAUAUAAAGUAAUUCCCUGUACCUGGUAGCAUUCACCUGCUAGACCCCAUGAAUGUCGCCAUUUUACUCUAUAUAAUUCUUUGGCACCUACCCAGUGGUGCAGGGAUCCAUUUGUCUUGCAGCUGCCCAAGACGUGCCUCUUACGUAAGCUUCUCUUAAUAAACUCUAUUAACUACCAGA